AGUGAACGCUGGCGGUAGGCCUAACACAUGCAAGUCGAACGGCAGCACAGUAAGAGCUUGCUCUUACGGGUGGCGAGUGGCGGACGGGUGAGGAAUACAUCGGAAUCUACUUUUUCGUGGGGGAUAACGUAGGGAAACUUACGCUAAUACCGCAUACGACCUACGGGUGAAAGCAGGGGAUCUUCGGACCUUGCGCGAUUGAAUGAGCCGAUGUCGGAUUAGCUAGUUGGCGGGGUAAAGGCCCACCAAGGCGACGAUCCGUAGCUGGUCUGAGAGGAUGAUCAGCCACACUGGAACUGAGACACGGUCCAGACUCCUACGGGAGGCAGCAGUGGGGAAUAUUGGACAAUGGGCGCAAGCCUGAUCCAGCCAUACCGCGUGGGUGAAGAAGGCCUUCGGGUUGUAAAGCCCUUUUGUUGGGAAAGAAAAGCAGCAGGUUAAUACCCCGCUGUUCUGACGGUACCCAAAGAAUAGCACCGGCUAACUUCGUG
rnacentral:rRNA from 1 species